rnacentral:rRNA from 1 species
CGGCGGACGGGUGAGUAACGCGUGGGUAACCUGCCUCAUACAGGGGGAUAACAGUUGGAAACGGCUGCUAAUACCGCAUAAGCGCACAGUACCGCAUGGUACGGUGUGAAAAACUCCGGUGGUAUGAGAUGGACCCGCGUCUGAUUAGGUAGUUGGUGGGGUAACGGCCUACCAAGCCGACGAUCAGUAGCCGACCUGAGAGGGUGGCCGGCCACAUUGGGACUGAGACACGGCCCAA